AGUCAUGCCACUGCAUUCCAGCCUGGGUGACAGAGCAAAGCCCUAUCUCUAAAAAAUAAAAAUAAAAGGUCACAUUAGAGAGAGUAGUGUUUCAGACAUCUAGGAAUGCUUCAUAGAAAUGUAGAAACAGUUGACUUACGCACACACAUAAGAAAGAAGGCAGGAGGGCAAGAGGUGAAGAGAUAGAGAUAAAUUUACACUGGUGUAAACACAUGCUCCAAACAUGCACACACACACGCACAUGCCAACCAAAUCCCAGCAUUCAUGUGGAAUGUUCCUGGCUGAAGACGUAACAGCUGCAUCUCUGGCCUCCCUUCACCUGCCCCUCCCUUCCCCAGUAGCUUUUUCCCAUGGCCUCUCCUCAGUCCCUUUCACUCCCCCAAAGCAAACCUAGGACUCUGCCCCAGCCACUGAGGCCUUGCCCUGGCCACGAACUCCAGCCCUUAUCCUGGUUCCAUUCUGAGUGUGGGCCGUGCCUCACAUGGGAAUCAGACCGUGUUUCCCUUGCCCGGCCCUCCAGGCCCCAGGGUGCUGUCUCUGCACCUGCACUGCCCUGUCCUCAUCAGACUGGGUUUCCCUUGCCCAGCCCUCCAGGCCCCAGGGUGCUGUCUUUACACCUGCACUGCCCUGUCCUCAUCUCUUGUUUCUGUGCCUCUUGCCCUUAGAGCUCCUUGUGUGUCUUUCAAUGCAUAUACUAGAAUGUCUGUAUGUCUAUGUGAAAUCUUUUUGUGGGAAUGCCUGAAUUUUAUGUGACUUCCUGGUGUCAUCCCUAAGGCCAAGAGUGUUAAUAGUUGGGGUGAGAGAUGGUAGAGUUUUUAUGUUUGGCUUUCCACAUUAUAUAGGUCCUAUGAUAUGUCCCUGAAACUACAAUGUAGCUGAUACACAGGCAUUUUUCUAAGACUAAGUGUUUUUGUGGGUGGACCUCCUGAUUCUCUGCCAUGAGCUAGGCCUGAAAUUUUACAGACCUAGAACUAACUGCAGUCACCUGGACACCAGAGAUCUGUAACUGUCAACUGUAAAGAGGGAGAGAGAGUAUAUUUGCUUCUUUGGGGUUGAAACCAUGCUGACGUAAUAUAAACAGAAUUUGGUCAGCACUGUCAGGCAAACAGUCUGCUCGAUAGGGAAACUCUUGAGAGUCAAAUGGGACUUUUGAAGAAUCUGGACCAAGCUGAACUUCCCUGGCAUUUUCACCCCUACCUCACGCCUCUCCCUGUUCACCCCUGGCUGGCUGGCUGGCUGCAUCCUGGGGAACGCUUCUGCUCCAUUGGGGUACCCUUCCUCCUAUGCAUCUUCUCAGAGAAGUGUAACCAAGACACAUAGAAGAAGCACAGACUGACACCUCCCCCCAUAGUAUGUCUUCUCCACCCUCCAGAGCCUCAUGUUACGCUCCUGUGUCCUUCAGAAUCUCCCCUCCCAGACCCUGCCAUCCCGG